rnacentral:rRNA from 1 species
CAAUAGCGUAUAUUUAAGUUGUUGCAGUUAAAAAGCUCGUAGUUGGAUUUCGGGUGGGACGCAGCGGUCUCGCAUUGCGUUUGUACUGCUGCAGCCCUCCUUCUUGCCGGGGGCGGCCUUUCGGGCUUCACUGUCUGAGGGUCAGAAUCGGCGAUGUUACUUUGAGUAAAUUAGAGUGUUCAAAGCAAGCUUACGCUCUGAAUAUAAUAGCAUGGGAUAACACGACAGGACUCUGGCCUAUCGUGUUGGUCUAUAGGACCAGAGUAAUGAUUAAGAGGGACAGUCGGGGCAUUCGUAUUCCGUUGUCAGAGGUGAAAUUCUUGGAUUUACGGAAGACGAACAUCUGCGAAAGCAUUUGCCAAGGAUGUUUUCAUUGA